rnacentral:rRNA from 1 species
AUUGAACGCUGGCGGCAGGCUUAACACAUGCAAGUCGAGCGGAGUGAUGGUGCUUGCACUAUCACUUAGCGGCGGACGGGUGAGUAAUGCUUAGGAAUCUGCCUAUUAGUGGGGGACAACAUCUCGAAAGGGAUGCUAAUACCGCAUACGUCCUACGGGAGAAAGCAGGGGAUCACUUGUGACCUUGCGCUAAUAGAUGAGCCUAAGUCGGGUGAGCUAGUUGGUGGGGUAAAGGCCUACCAAGGCGAGGAUCUGUAGCGGGUCUGAGAGGAUGAUCCGCCACACUGGGAGUGAGACACGGACCAGACUCCUACGGGAGGCAGCAGUGGGGAAUAUUGGACAAUUGGGGGAACCCUGAUCCAGCCAUGCCGCGUGUGUGAAGAAGGCCUUAUGGUUGUAACGCACUUUAAGCGAGGAGGAGGCUCUUUUGGUUAAUACCCAAGAUGAGUGGACGUUACUCGCAGAAUAAGCACCGGCUAACUCUGUGCCAGCCGCCGCAGUAA